GACGGAGGGUGCUAGCGUUGUUCGGAAUCACUGGGCGUAAAGCGCGCGUAGGCGGUCAGGUAAGUCCGGUGUGAAAGUCAAAGGCUCAACCUUUGAAUGCCGCUGGAUACUGCUUGACUUGAGUCCGGAAGGGGCGAGUGGAAUUCCUGGUGUAGCGGUGAAAUGCGCAGAUAUCAGGAGGAACACCGGUGGCGAAGGCGGGUCGCUGGGCAGUAACUGACGCUGAGGAGCGAAAGCGUGGGGAGCGAACAGG
rnacentral:rRNA from 1 species